rnacentral:rRNA from 1 species
UACGUAGGGUGCAAGCGUUGUCCGGAAUUAUUGGGCGUAAAGAGCUCAUAGGCGGUCUGUCGCGUCGGAUGUGAAAACCCAGGGCUCAACCCUGGGCCUGCACUCGAUACGGGCAGACUAGAGUUCGGUAGGGGAGACUGGAAUUCCUGGUGUAGCGGUGAAAUGCGCAGAUAUCAGGAGGAACACCGGUGGCGAAGGCGGGUCUCUGGGCCGAAACUGACGCUGAGGAGCGAAAGCGUGGGGAGCAAACAGG